rnacentral:rRNA from 1 species
UAGGGAAUAUUGGACAAUGGGCGAAAGCCUGAUCCAGCCAUGCCGCGUGUGUGAAGAAGGUCUUCGGAUUGUAAAGCACUUUAAGUUGGGAGGGAGGGCAGUAAAUUAAUACUUUGCUGUUUUGACGUUACCGACAGAAUAAGCACCGGCUAACUCUGUGCCAGCAGCCGCGGUAAUACAGAGGGUGCAAGCGUUAAUCGGAAUUACUGGGCGUAAAGCGCGCGUAGGUGGUUCGUUAAGUUGGAUGUGAAAUCCCCGGGCUCAACCUGGGAACUGCAUUCAAAACUGACGAGCUAGAGUAUGGUAGAGGGUGGUGGAAUUUCCUGUGUAGCGGUGAAAUGCGUAGAUAUAGGAAGGAACACCAGUGGCGAAGGCGACCACCUGGACUGAUACUGACACUGAGGUACGAAAGCGUGGGGAGCAAACAGGAUUAGAUACCCUGGUAGUCCACGCCGU